CCUGAUGCAGCGACGCCGCGUGAGGGAUGACGGCCUUCGGGUUGUAAACCUCUUUCGACAGGGACGAAGCGCAAGUGACGGUACCUGUAGAAGAAGCACCGGCCAACUACGUGCCAGCAGCCGCGGUAAUACGUAGGGUGCGAGCGUUGUCCGGAAUUACUGGGCGUAAAGAGCUUGUAGGCGGUUCGUCGCGUCGUUCGUGAAAACUUGGGGCUCAACCCCAAGCUUGCGGGCGAUACGGGCGGACUAGAGUACUUCAGGGGAGACUGGAAUUCCUGGUGUAGCGGUGAAAUGCGCAGAUAUCAGGAGGAACACCGGUGGCGAAGGCGGGUCUCUGGGAAGUAACUGACGCUGAGAAGCGAAAGCGUGGGUAGCGAACAGGAUUAGAUACCCUGGUAGUCCACGCCGUAAACGGUGGGUACUAGGUGUGGGUUUCCUUCCACGGGAUCCGUGCCGUAGCUAACGCAUUAAGUACCCCGCCUGGGGAGUACGGCCGCAAGGCUAAAACUCAAAGGAAUUGACGG
rnacentral:rRNA from 1 species